rnacentral:rRNA from 1 species
UAGGGCGUUCACACGUCAUACAAUGGUCGGUACAGAGGGUUGCCAAGCCGCGAGGCGGAGCCAAUCCCACAAAGCCGAUCGUAGUCCGGAUUGUUCUCUGCAACUCGAGAGCAUGAAGUCGGAAUCGCUAGUAAUCGCAGGUCAGCAUACUGCGGUGAAUACGUUCCCGGGUCUU